UACAUGUGGGGCAAGCGUUGUUCGGAAUUACUGGGCGUAAAGCGCGCGCAGGCGGUUUUUCAAGUCAGUGGUGAAAGCCCGGAGCUCAACUCCGGAACUGCCAUUGAAACUGUAAAACUUGAGGAUGAGAGAGGUGAGUGGAAUUCCCAGUGUAGAGGGUGAAAUUCGUAGAUAUUGGGAAGAACACCGGUGGCGAAGGCGGCUCACUGGCUCAUUUCUGACGCUCAGGCGCGACAGCGUGGGGAUCAAACAGG
rnacentral:rRNA from 1 species